rnacentral:tRNA from 1 species
GAUUAAUUAACUAUGAAUUAAGUGUUUAUUUUGAAAAUAAAAAAAAGAAUUAUUUCUAUUAAUCU